rnacentral:rRNA from 1 species
AUUGAACGCUGGCGGCAGGCCUAACACAUGCAAGUCGAGCGGAUGAAGGGAGCUUGCUCCUGGAUUCAGCGGCGGACGGGUGAGUAAUGCCUAGGAAUCUGCCUGGUAGUGGGGGAUAACAUCCGGAAACGGGCGCUAAUACCGCAUACGUCCUGAGGGAGAAAGUGGGGGAUCUUCGGACCUCACGCUAUCAGAUGAGCCUAGGUCGGAUUAGCUAGUUGGGGGGGUAAAGGCCUACCAAGGCGACGAUCCGUAACUGGUCUGAGAGGAUGAUCAGUCACACUGGAACUGAGACACGGUCCAGACUCCUACGGGAGGCAGCAGUGGGGAAUAUUGGACAAUGGGCGAAAGCCUGAUCCAGCCAUGCCGCGUGUGUGAAGAAGGUCUUCGGAUUGUAAAGCACUUUAAGUUGGGAGGAAGGGCAGUAAGUUAAUACCUUGCUGUUUUGACGUUACCAACAGAAUAAGCACCGGCUAACUUCGUG